rnacentral:rRNA from 1 species
AACGAACGCUGGCGGCAUGCCUAACACAUGCAAGUCGAACGAGACCUUCCGGUCUAGUUGCGCUCCGGUGCGUAACACGGGGGGACCUACCCUUAAGUUCGGUAUCACUCACCGAAAGGGGUGCUAAUACCGGAUAAUGUCAUCCGGCCAAAGAUUUCUCGCCUUUGGGUGGGGCCGCGUUGGAUUAGCUAGUUGGUAGGGUAAAAGCCGACCAAGGGGACGUUGCAUAGCUGGUCUGAGAGGAUGAUCAGCCACACUGGGACUGAGACACGGCUCAGACUCCUACGGGAAGCAGCAGUGGGGAAUAUUGGACAAUGGGCGAAAGCCUGAUCCAGCAAUGCCGCGUGAGUGAUGAAGGCCUUAGGGUUGUAAAGCUCUUUUACCCGGGAUGAUAAUGACAGUACCGGGAGAAUAAGCUCCGGCUAACUCCGUG